UGGGGAAUCUUCCGCAAUGGACGAAAGUCUGACGGAGCAACGCCGCGUGAGUGAAGAAGGUUUUCGGAUCGUAAAGCUCUGUUGUUUGAGACGAAUGUGCAGACUUUGAAUAAGGGUUUGUAAUGACGGUAUUAAACGAGAAAGCCACGGCUAACUACGUGCCAGCAGCCGCGGUAAUACGUAGGUGGCAAGCGUUGUCCGGAAUUAUUGGGCGUAAAGGGAGCGCAGGUGGGAAUGUAAGUCAGUCUUAAAAGUGCGGGGCUCAACCCCGUGAGGGGAUUGAAACUACAUUUCUUGAGUGCAGGAGAGGAAAGUGGAAUUCCUAGUGUAGCGGUGAAAUGCGUAGAGAUUAGGAGGAACACCAGUGGCGAAGGCGACUUUCUGGACUGUAACUGACACUGAGGCUCGAAAGCCAGGGGAGCGAACGGG
rnacentral:rRNA from 1 species